rnacentral:lncRNA from 1 species
AUCACUCCAUCGCUCUCUCUCUCCCUCUCCCUUUCUCUCUCUCGACUUUCAUCUCUUUUUGGCUCCCAAUCACGCUUCCUCACUCUCUGGCUCACCAUCAUGCUUCUUCACUCUCUUCGACUACCAAACAUGGAAGCACUGUCAGUUUUAGAUUUGGAAGCAGAACCCAACCGCCACUCAUUUUACAGUAAGUGAUUAAAGCAAAUGAUAAAUUUUUAUUUUUUGUGCAUUCUUGGAUUAAUUUUGUGAAUUCCGUGGGUUUCAGUAUCUGUUGUUUGGUGGUAAUUGUUUGAUGAUAAAGAUGAAUUUUUUUUAGAAAAUUAAUUGUGUGGAAAUUGCUUUGAAAACUGUUGGAUUUUGGUUCAAAGUAAUAUAGAAUUGUUGUGAAAAUUACUAUGUGAAAAUUGCUAAAUUUUAGUUCAGAUGAUUUGCUGUAUUCUAGUAAUUUUGAGAGUUAGUAUGUGUGCUAGAAUUGAACUCCAGAUUUUGUUUAGAAAGAUGGCUAGCAAAUGUAGCACCUAUAAUUUCAAUAAAAUAAAAAAUUAUAAAAAUUGGAUAUUGUGAAACGUACUCAAGUCAAAUUGUUUCUGAGAAAUUAAAGUCCUGUUUUGAUUUGUACUUUCAAAUACACAAAGUAUACCAAAGUAAAAGAUUUUAAAGAAAUUAAUAAACUUCAUUCUUACCAUUUAAUGUGACUUAAAGGCCUAAUUAAUUAUACAAAAUUAAUGGUGGACAACGUAAAAGAAAAUAUUAAUUACAAUACUAAUCUGGGUCAUAUUUUCAUUGCAUAAUGGUCACACAAUUAUUGUAAUCUAUGCAUUUCAUAAUGACUAUGAUACUUGGCAUAAAUGAAUGCAAUAUUAAUGAUUUUAUUUCGACCAUAAAUAUUUUAUUUUAGAUUAUUCUUUUUUAAUUUUAUUGUCUAAUUACUUGAAUUUUCUUAAUUUCAUUGUCUAAUUACUCAGUUUUACAUGGAUAUCUUGUGAUAAUAUUACAUGUGAUUAAUUAAUUAUCUUAUUCAUUUUUUUAAUUUUAAUUUUUUUGACAAUUUUUUAUGUUUCUUAGCUGAAAAAUAUGAGUUGGGUGAAAAAUAUGAGUGUUGCAGAGUGCUUUGUGUUUUCAUACUCCCUUUUUUUUGGGCAGUUAAAAUAGUCUAUUAAUGACAAUGUCAUCUUGCACAAAUGAAACUCAAAACUCAUUACAAAUAUGUACCGAAUGUAGUGGCCAAAUGGAUUUGUUAAUGUCACGUACUACAAAUAAUCUAAAUCACAAAUUUUAGAAAUGUAGAAGAUGUAAAAACUUUCAAUGGACAGAAGAUUGUAAAUCUAACGAAGAGAAAAUUGACCUCCUAGUGGAGGAGGUUAUGAAGUUGACAUUGGAGAUUGAGUGUUUGUCUGUUAAAUUUCAAUUGUUUCAUAAAGAACUUGAGUAUAUGCAAUAAUGUGAAGUGCAGAGACGAUUGUUUGACGAUGAAUUUCAAAGGAGAUAAACAUGAGGAUAUGAUUUAAUUAGAAUACUUGUGAUUGUUGUACUAUGUUUUAUAUUAAAGUUUUAUUUUUAGGUUGUUUCAAUUUGCAUUAUCUACUGGGAAAACUUGUAGACAUAUAUAAUAAUAUUUUCACUCGAAAUAUAAGACUCUAAGUUCUUUCACUUUAUUCAAUUAGAAGUUAGAUUCAAAUUGUUGUUAUAAAAACUUUAUUUGAUGCCAAAAUAGCACAUAAUGAGUACAAGCACAUUGAAAUUGUAAUAAUUUAUGAUGUUCAAAAUUAUUAGGAAAUAUCAUUAAAAAAUUAUCAAAAAAGCCAGUAGACCAACAAAAAUUAUCUGAAAAAAAUAGCAAUAGUGCAAUGAUUAAUUCAUCACUACAAUUAGUCGUUUUAAGCUAAAUCUAAGCGAAAUAAUAGAGAAAAUAAUCUGAACAGAAUAAAAGUCAAAUAUCAAUUAUAAUGAUUGUUAUCUUCAUUACAUUAUCAAUGUAGCAAUUGUUGGAAAUACCUAUUUUCAGAUCCUUUGUACGUCAUCGAAAGAGAAGAAUAAUGUGAUUGCAAAGCAUAUCGUGGGACUGGUUGCUAUAAUACACAAAAAAUUAAAAACAUCAUAUUACAUUUUAGAAAUCUAAAAAUAUAAGUAUACAUUAGGAAACUGUGAUUUUAAGACGACAAUAUUGUGUGCAAAUUGUAAGGAAAUGGAUGAUAAAUAUUAUUUACACCAACUUGGGUUGGGUAUACAAGUACCAAGGUAAAUAAAAAAAUGUAAAAUUAAAAUUUCUUCAUGAAUUUAAUUCUUACAUUAUAGUAGUCUAAAGUCCCGUAGGUUGAGAUUUGCAUUAAUAGUACUUUCUUCCUGUAAUGUCUAUAUAUGCUAAAAAAGAUACUUAGUUACAUAUCUUCAAAAUGAAAGAGAAGUUUAAAAAUUCACAAACUUAUCAUGGCCACGUUGCUUUGUUGUGUGGAGAUUUCAUUAGGCACUUCAUAAGAUGAUGGAGCAUCUUUUUGUAAAUCUUGUAAAAAAUGACAAACAAUUAAAAGAAGAGAAUGAAAUUAGAAAACAAUUUUUGUAUUUAAACAAAACUUUUUUUUUCUGCAGUCUUCUUCUUUUGGGCAGAUUUCUUAUGAAUUGCAAAAAUAUUUCCUCAGACGAGGAGGAUGGCCUUUACAAAGUGCUGCUACUGGAUCAUUGAUUAUAUGUUCAACAUUGCUGCUGCUACAACUUAGUUCACUUGUAACAGUUGUUUUCACACUUGCACACC